rnacentral:rRNA from 1 species
GAAUAUUGCGCAAUGGGGGAAACCCUGACGCAGCAACGCCGCGUGAGCGAUGAAGGUCUUCGGAUUGUAAAGCUCUGUCUUUUGGGACGAUAAUGACGGUACCAAAGGAGGAAGCCACGGCUAACUACGUGCCAGCAGCCGCGGUAAUACGUAGGUGGCAAGCGUUGUCCGGAAUUACUGGGCGUAAAGAGUAUGUAGGCGGAUAUUUAAGUCAGAUGUGAAAUUCCCGGGCUUAACCUGGGCGCUGCAUUUGAUACUGGAUAUCUAGAGUGUGGGAGAGGAAAGUGGAAUUCCUAGUGUAGCGGUGAAAUGCGUAGAGAUUAGGAAGAACACCAGUGGCGAAGGCGGCUUUCUGGACCAUAACUGACGCUGAGAUACGAAAGCGUGGGGAGCAAAC